UAAGAGCCGUGCGGGAGCUCGGGUGAGCCGGGCUGAGAGGCCCCGACGUAGUGGGGGCGACCGUCGGAACCUGAUCUGGGUAAUGCCAGCGUAGGGAAGCGGAAGAGACGCUCUC
rnacentral:ncRNA from 2 species